CAGGGGUCCCUUCAGCGUGGUGCGGAGAUGCAUCAACAGGGAGACGGGACAGCAGUUUGCUGUCAAAAUCGUGGAUGUGGCCCAGUUUACCUCCAGUCCUGGACUCAGCACGGAGGACCUGAAGAGGGAGGCCAGCAUCUGCCACAUGCUGAAGCACCCCCACAUCGUGGAGCUGCUGGAGACGUACAGCUCUGAUGGGAUGCUCUACAUGGUCUUUGAGUUUAUGGAUGGAGCAGACUUGUGUUUUGAGAUAGUGAAGAGGGCAGAUGCCGGCUUCGUCUACAGUGAAGCGGUGGCCAGUCACUACAUGAGACAGAUUCUGGAGGCGCUACGCUACUGCCACGACAACAAUGUCAUCCACCGAGACGUC